rnacentral:rRNA from 1 species
GCGCACCAUCGGUAGAUGGNGGGGACNCGUAGGAGACUGCCGGGGUCAACAUCGGAGGAAGGNUGGGGAUUACGNUCAAGAUCAUCAUGCCCCUUAUAUCUAGGGCUGCAAACAUGCUACAAUGGCUGGUACAACGGGCUGCAAUACCGCGAGGUGGAGCAAAUCCCUUAAAGCCAGUCUCAGUUCGGAUAGGAGUCUGCAACUCGACUCCAUGAAGUCGGAGUCACUAGUAAUCCCGGAUCAGCUACGCCGGGGUGAAUACGUUCCCAGGCCUNGUACACACCGCCCGUCACACCACGAAAGUCGGCAACACCCGAAGUCAGUGGCUUUUCCCGCAAGGGGGGGAGCUGCCGAAGGUGGGGUGGGUGAUUGGGGUGAAGUCGUAACAAGGUAGCCGUACCGGAAGGUGCAGCUGGAUCACCUCCUUUCUAAGGAGCAUCCGAGUAACUCACUCGGAGCACCGUUGAGGCACUGGCUAGUNUGGUCUGUNCGAAGCUUCGAUACUCGAGUNCGCUCGUAUCGCCGGCGACGGCCAGGUCGUUCCAUCCUCUCUUCGUNUGGAGGGACGCAGUGUCCCUUUGCCAUCGAGCUGUGCGCGAGCGCUUGUCUGACUGCCGCUCGAUCUGCCCUUGAGAAUGCUAGCGACACGAGCAUCUUCUNCAUAAUUAAGAUGCAGCUACAAGAGCCACGCGAGCCUGGCGUUCUACGAGAGAGCGGAGCGCAAAGCACGGGCGCGACAGCUGACGUGAGUCGAUGGAACGAUAUAUAUCCGCGCGAGUGACUUGAACUCC